GCCCAGGUAGCUCAGUUGGUAGAGCACGUGACUGAAAAUCACGGUGUCGCUGGUUCGAUUCCGGCCCUGGGCACCA
rnacentral:tRNA from 9 species